rnacentral:lncRNA from 1 species
ACUAAGGUGACCAUUUGUCCUGGAUUUUUUUCCUAAUUUUUAGUUAUCUUCUGGAUUAUAUUCAUUAGAUGAAUAUUUAGUUUUUAUAGUAACACUGUUAAAUGUGUGAAAUUUACAAAUAUUUAUUACACUAAACUUAACUACUUUCAAUCCAUAUUCUGGUGUCAUUAAUAGAUAGAACAAUGAAUGGGAGAGCACUCAUUUGGUAAUGAAUCUGAAAGAAUAAUGAUAGAGAAGAAAAUACAGAUGGACAGGAAUAGGAAGACAAAGGAAUUUUAUCUUCUGUCUUUAAUGACAUUAAUAAAAAAAAAUGGUUUGCUUAUAUCAAAUGCAAAAUUACAAAACUUGUUGAGAACAUAUAUUCCACUUAAUAACUAUAUAUUAGUAAUUUUAUUUAUUGUUUCAUUA